rfam:Oryza rufipogon genomic scaffold, chr02
AAUAAAUAUAGUUUUAAAUUGUUCAUAUCUAACGUUGAACUGUUCAUCUUAUUUAAUUUUUUUUUAUGAUUAGGAUUUUUAUUGUUAUUAGAUGAUAAAACAUGAAUAAUACUAAUUUUUUAUUUUUUUCAACAAUUUUUUAAAUAAGACGGGUGGUCAAACAUUGUACACAGAUAUUCAUAACUGCACUUAUU